GCAAAACAAGUACCUAACCGAUUUGUAAGGUAAACAAAUGUAAAUAAUACGUAUAAUAAUGAAUCCUGUAAUUGUUGUGUAAACUAAACCUCUUCAAGAAUCUCAUCUAAACACUUGUUCAAUAUACAUGUAUUAAUGUUGAAAUGUUUCAAUUAAUUCAGCUAAUAGUGGGAGAGAAAAGAGAGAGGAGGUGACCUUAAAUUAUCGGCUUUUCUUCAUCUCAUCUUCUCGCCAUUUCAAUCUCUUUCUUAAGUCAUCUUUUUUUAUUUUUCAUCUCAUCUUUAUCAUCAUCAUCAUCUUCUUCUUCUUCCUCCUUCAAGGAACCAUUCUUAUGUGUUUAGUGUCAAUAAUAUUUUAAAAGCAAAGUAAACAAAUAUAAAUAUUCAAAUAAAAGAAAACAACAAAACACAAAAAAACUCAAUAAAUUAUUGUUCAAAUGGUCAUUUCAUCUUCUAUCAGAAAACAAAGAUCCAGUCCAAAAGGGAAAAGUAAAAGGAGAAACAAAAGCGAGACCCUGAAGUAAUAAGAUUUAACCAUUAACUGGGUAUAAAAGAGUUCAAAACUGCAACGCUGGUAAUGACCAUGAUUAAACAAGGAAAGCCAAUUGAUAAAUUAUGAUUAUAAACUGUUUCUUGUUUGUAGUCUGUUUCUUACAGCAUUAAGAUUAUCAAGACUGAACAAGUACCAAUAUAAAACGUAAUAAUAAAAAGCUAAUGAUUGGGUUAAGAAACAAAAA